rnacentral:rRNA from 1 species
CACGUAGGGCGCGAGCGUUGUCCGGAAUCAUUGGGCGUAAAGCGCGUGUAGGCGGCCCGGUAAGUCCGCUGUGAAAGUCCAGGGCUCAACCCUGGGAUGCCGGUGGAUACUGUCGGGCUCGAGUCCGGAAGAGGCGAGUGGAAUUCCUGGUGUAGCGGUGAAAUGCGCAGAUAUCAGGAGGAACACCAAUGGCGAAGGCAGCUCGCUGGGACGUGACUGACGCUGAGACGCGAAAGCGUGGGGAGCAAACAGG